UGCCAGUGAUAAACUGGAGGAAGGUGGGGAUGACGUCAAGUCAUCAUGGCCCUUACGACCAGGGCUACACACGUGCUACAAUGGCGCAUACAAAGAGAAGCGACCUCGCGAGAGCAAGCGGACCUCAUAAAGUGCGUCGUAGUCCGGAUUGGAGUCUGCAACUCGACUCCAUGAAGUCGGAAUCGCUAGUAAUCGUGGAUCAGAAUGCCACGGUGAAUACGUUCCCGGGCCUUGUACACACCGCCCGUCACACCAUGGGAGUGGGUUGCAAAAGAAGUAGGUAGCUUAACCUUCGGGAGGGCGCUUACCACUUUGUGAUUCAUGACUGGGGUGAAGUCGUAACAAGGUAACCGUA
rnacentral:rRNA from 1 species